rnacentral:lncRNA from 1 species
UUUUUGCUUCUCUUCAGAAAUUGAUUAAGUAAGGAAACCCAUUCAAUAUGGUUGUUAGAACUGAGAACUACCAAAAUCAGGCCCAUUCCUGGCAGCAGGCAAGGGUGGCAAACGGGACGGUCUAAAAUGCCGAGACGAACUGAGGGAGGGGCGUUUCCACUGUGGGCCGGACAGAGGGCUGCUCUGCUCAGAGCGUGGAAGUGGGCAGUGCUCCCUGCUCACGCCUAUCGAUCCGGGAGCUGAAGUUUUCUUUUAGACACAUAAUCAAGACCACGUGUUAGGGAAACAGGAAAAAUGAAAUUUUUGGCAAGGUUAGAUAAAAUAUCUAGUGCUGCAACUGUGCGAUAAACAC